GUGAACCUGAGUCAGCCCAGCCUGAGGAGUGACCAGAGCAGCAAAGCCCUGCAGGACCAAUGCAAUGCUAAAGGGCCACAGCCUGCAGCUGACUCACUGAUCUGCAGGAACCAGCAGAAUUGUGUCGUCUCUCCUGUUUCAUGGUCAUACCUCCUGUACACCUAAAGUAUUGAUGAGUGAUUAAAAACAACCUUCCUGUGUACACUCAAUGAGAUUCUGAUUAUAAUGUUUGUUUAAGAAAAUAGUGUUGUCUUUCUGUAGUGAUUUUUACAAAGCGCAUUGUUACAGAGCAACAUUACACAAGUCCGGGCCUGUACUUUACUGGCUGUAGAUUACAUCUCUUGAAAAAUAUCAUUGAAAAAAAGAUUGUUUGUAGAUUUUUGAUGGAUUGUUUUUUAAAUAUUUUUUGUUAUAUUUGGGAAAUGUUUCUUGAUGGUUUUGUGAGUUUAUUUUCCACUGUGUGAAAUAGCUUUGCAUAUUCUGUACAUACACACAUAAAGCAUGUUUUCAGGA